rnacentral:misc_RNA from 1 species
GGAAGGAUCAUUAUUGAUUGCGAAUCGUUGCCUUCUGUGCUGGCCAGCUCUGGCAAGUGCACGUCGGUGACUUUCAUCCAAUACCCUGUGAACCUUUGGCCUUUGCUAGCUUCGGCCGGCAGAGGAAUUUACACACAC